rnacentral:rRNA from 1 species
GACGAACGCUGGCGGCGUGCUUAACACAUGCCAGUCGAACGGAAAGGCCCUGCUUUUGUGGGGUGCUCGAUUGGCGAACGGGUGAGUAACACGUGAGUAACCUGCCCUUGACUUUGGGAUAACUUCAGGAACUUGGGCCUAUAGCGGAAAGGGACCUCCGGUGCAGGGUGGGGGGUGGUAAAUUUGGGCGGUUGGGGGUUGACUUCCCGCCUAGCCGGCUGUCGGUGGGGUAGUGGAUUACCAAGGCUUUGACCGGGUGCCGGCCUGAGAGGGGGACCGGACAAAGUGGGACUGAGCUGAGGCACAGACUACUACGGGAGGCAGGAGUGGGGAAUAUUACACAAUGGGAGGAAGCCUGAUGCAGCAACGCCGCGCGCGGGAUGACGGCCUUCGGGUUGUAAACCGCUUCCGCCUGUGACGAAGCGUGAGUGACGGUAAUGGGUAAAGAAGCACCGGCUAACUACGUG